rnacentral:rRNA from 1 species
CCUACGGGCGGCACCAGUGGGGAAUAUUGCACAAUGGGCGCAAGCCUGAUGCAGCCAUGCCGCGUGUAUGAAGAAGGCCUUAGGGUUGUAAAGUACUUUCAGUUGGGAGGAAGGCGUUGAUGCUAAUAUCAUCAGCGAUUGACGUUACCAACAGAAGAAGCACCGGCUAACUCCGUGCCAGCAGCCGCGGUAAUACGGAGGGUGCAAGCGUUAAUCGGAAUUACUGGGCGUAAAGCGCACGCAGGCGGUUGAUUAAGUUAGAUGUGAAAUCCCCGGGCUUAACCUGGGAAUGGCAUCUAAGACUGGUCAGCUAGAGUCUUGUAGAGGGGGGGUAGAAUUCCAUGUGUAGCGGUGAAAUGCGUAGAGAUGUGGAGGAAUACCGGUGGCGAAGGCGGCCCCCUGGACAAAGACUGACGCUCAGGUGCGAAAGCGUGGGGGGCAAACAGGAUUAGAUACCCCCGUAGUC